ACUAAUUAUACCGAGAUUCAUGUAUUUCUGCAAUUUUGAUUUGCUGAUAUUCAUAUAUUUUCUGAAACUAUAUGCAAAUCAAGGUUACUCUUUCAAGCAAUUCGGAGCCUAUUAGACUUCAAUUACUUUACUCAUUUCCAGUCUUCUUAGUCAUAUUGGGACGCAACAUUCAAUUUUAAAGAUUGUACGUGCACGCUGUUAUGCCUAUCAAAUAAUGUGGAGGUUUUGAUCCACUACUUG